UCGGGAAUUUUGGGCAAUGGGCGAAAGCCUGACCCAGCAACGCCGCGUGAGGGAUGAAGUAUUUCGGUACGUAAACCUCGAAAGAAUGGGAAGAAUAAAUGACGGUACCAUUUAUAAGCUCCGGCUAACUACGUGCCAGCAGCCGCGGUAAUACGUAGGGAGCAAGCGUUGUUCGGAUUUACUGGGCGUAAAGGGCGCGUAGGCGGCGCGGUAAGUCACUUGUGAAAUCUCUGAGCUUAACUCAGAACGGCCAAGUGAUACUGCUGUGCUAGAGUGCGGAAGAGGCAACCGGAAUUCUUGGUGUAGCGGUUGAAUGCGUAGAUAUCAAGAGGAACACCUGAGGCGAAGGCGGGUUGCUGGGCCGACACUGACGCUGAUGCGCGAAAGCCAGGGGAGCAAACG
rnacentral:rRNA from 1 species